AGCUCCAAUAGCGUAUAUUAAUGUUGUUGCAGUUAAAAAGCUCGUAGUUGGAUUUGUGGUUGGAUCUGUCGGCCCGACACUUUUUUGGUGUGGGUGCUUUGAUGGGUCUGUCCAUCUUUGGCCUGAAUGUUCGUGGCAUUGAGUUGUCGUGUUCGGUUAGGGUCAUCAUUUACUGUGAAAAAAUCAGAGUGUUCAAAGCAGGCUUAUGCCGUUGAAUAUAUUAGCAUGGAAUAAUGAGAUAGGACCUGGGUGCUAUUUUGUUGGUUUGCGCACCGAGGUAAUGAUUAAUAGGGACAGUUGGGGGUAUUCGUAUUCCAUUGUCAGAGGUGAAAUUCUUGGAUUUCUGGAAGACGAACUACUGCGAAAGCAUUUACCAAGGAUGUUUUCA
rnacentral:rRNA from 1 species